UUAAGUUCAGCGGGUAUCCCUACCUGAUCCGAGGUCAACCGUAAAGAAUGGGGGGUUCUGGCAGGUGGUCACCCGAACCCUAUAGCGAGAGAAUUACUACGCUUAGAGCCAGACGGCACCGCCACUAAUUUUAAGGGCCGCGAGACCGCGAACCCCAAGACCAAGCCGAGGCUUGAGUGGUUAUAAUGACGCUCGAACAG
rnacentral:misc_RNA from 1 species